rnacentral:lncRNA from 10 species
GGCCGGAACGCGCAUGUCCCGGCAAUUCUGCUCAUCAGCCGAGCGUCUCUGCCAUUGUGAACAGUGCUGCUAUGAUCUUUCUAAAAAGUGUCAGAGUUUCUCGUGAGUGAGUGUGUACCUGGGGGUGGUAUAAGAGAUAAUGCCAAAGUGAUUGUAUUAACUUACACUUCCCACUCAACUUGUUCUCAAUCAGCCUGGAGAUCCAUGUCAUCUCUAUGCUGGGAAGUCCUCUGCCUAGUCUAAGAUCUUCCCUGUGAUCUUUCCCCAUCCUUUGUGGCAGGAGUGAAAUCACACCAAUUGCUGUUUUCAGGUUCCACUAGUGUCUCCUUAUCUUAUGCCACAGUCGGCCUGCCUGACAUUUUCUACUAGGGCAUGUCCUGAAGCUAUUCAUUUGUUUAAGCCUUAUCUCAGCUCACUGCAAGCUCCACCUCCUGGGUUCACGCCAUUCUCGUGCCUCAGCCUCCCGACUAGCUGGGACUACAGGCA